GAUCCUGGGCUCAGAUUGAACGCUGGCGGCAGGCCUAACACAUGCAAGUCGAACGGUAACAGGAAACAGCUUGCUGUUUCGCUGACGAGUGGCGGACGGGUGAGUAAUGUCUGGGAAACUGCCUGAUGGAGGGGGAUAACUACUGGAAACGGUAGCUAAUACCGCAUAAUGUCGCAAGACCAAAGAGGGGGGACCUUCGGGCCGUCUUGCCAUCGGAUGUGCCCAGAUGGGAUUAGCUAGUAGGUGGGG
rnacentral:rRNA from 1 species